rnacentral:rRNA from 1 species
UACAGAGGGGGCAAGCGUUAUUCGGAAUUAUUGGGCGUAAAGGGCGCGUAGGCGGCUUGGCAAGUGGAUGGUGAAAUCCCUCGGCUUAACCGAGGAACUGCCGUCCAAACUGCUUCGCUUGAGACCGGGAGAGGUGAGUGGAAUUCCCAGUGUAGCGGUGAAAUGCGUAGAUAUUGGGAGGAACACCAGUGGCGAAGGCGGCUCACUGGACCGCUACUGACGCUGAUGCGCGAAAGCGUGGGGAGCGAACAGG